AGCGUAUGUUAGAUUCCAUAGGCUGCUGCAGGCAAAGCUCAAUGUUACAUAUUCAGUUACAGUCCCAAAAAUUUUUCAGACAAAUUAAAGUCUUCCUCUAUAGACAGAUGAGGCAAUAUGACUGCAGGGCUCAGUUUUACUUCAUACGUAUUCCAGCACCCUUUCUCCUUUUCCCACCAUCUGCUCACUUAUUUCCUAUUUUUAUCACCAUCUAUCCUCAUUCACUUCACCAACAUUAGACACUUUGCUUCCUUCCAGCUCCUCCUCCUACUCUCUUAUUCAUUCACGUGUCUGCGACAUGAGGGCUGAUCCGAUAAAGAAGAGCUUUGAGACUUGAGAUCUUCUCCAGUCUGAAUGACUUAUACACACUAAUGUGUUGCCUUGCCUCAUCCAUCCAGAGGAAAUGAGUGGGUAUACGGUCGACUCCUCUCCUGUUACAUAGGCAUGGAAUUAGACAUUCAAUUAUACAAAAGGCUCCUGCAUAGUGUAUAAGAGUGUAUGUGGGGGAUAUAAAGCGCCUCAUGAUCAGAUGUAUUUUUAAUGUAUUCUUCAGCCUUCCGUUGUCUCUCUCAUCACCCUCACUCCUUGUCAGAAGCAUCACAAGACGGCAACGGUGAGUCGAGUCACCACUUAAACUGGACAGAAAAGCAAGACUUUGCUCAAUCAGACACUGAUACAUGACAGAAUAUGGAUCGAAAAGCGGAUUUUAAGAGGAAAAUGACCCUUGCUGAACUGAAUAUUUUGUUUGUUUUCCAGGAUUUCCACUAUGUUUGUGAAUCAAAUAACGACGGAAAUACAACGAACAGAUAACUGGAGCAUGUUUUUUAUGCCACUGGGAUAAAAAGAUGAAUAUUUUUUUGGGGUGUUUUUGGUUUUAAGACACAUCAAUAUCAGCACGGAAAUUCAUACAUAGCUUCCUGGACAUGCCCUGGAUUCACAGAUGACAUUAAUGUGCAUCAUAGCUACUGUACUGGUGUUUAAGGAGGAUAACAGAAGAAGAUGCAAAGGAAGAUGCAGACAAUCCUAUGGAAGUCCUUCAGUCACCCUCUUGACAAUGAACUCUUUCAAAAUCUCCAUCAAAGUCUGCCUGAUUCAAAUGAGUAAAAUAUGUUGGUAGUGAGGCAUCUACAAAAAAAGUAUUUCCCCCUUUUACUGGUCUGACUGAUUACUGUGUUCAAAUAGAGAUCUGAAAUAAUUUAUUAGAACUUGUCCUAUAUUUUGAAUUUAAUGUAAGAUUUUUGCCAGGCAGCACCUUGAAGGACUUUAGAAGAUUUCAUAUAUUCCUCCUUUUGUUUUUGUGACAGAGAACAAAACAUAUAGAAAUCUGGACAUUCUACUCAACUUAGAAUUCAUCCAUCCAUCCAUCCAUUAUCUUUACACUGCUUAAUCCUCAUUAAGGUUGCAGAGGUGCUGGAGUCUAUUCCAGCUGACUUCGGGCGAAGGCAGGGGAUAAAUUGGACAGAGCACCAGUCUAUCACAGGGCUACAAACAAUCACACUCACGUUCACACCUACGGACAAUUUAGAGUCACCAAUUAACCUCAACAUGCUCUUGGACUGUGGGAAGAAGCUGGAGAACCCGGAGGAAACCCACGCAUGCACAGGGAGAACAUGCAAACUCCAUGCAGAAAGAUCCCUGGCCCAGGCAGGGAUGGAACCGGGGAUCUUCUAGCUGCAAGUGUGACCACUGUUUUAUGGGGUGAGGGAGCUCCUGCUGCGACCGAGAUGCCGGUGUAGCAGUGACGGUUCAUAGGGGUUAAACUGUCUCCUGCUGUCCUGUUUUAGGGUUUUUGUUUGUAGGUUUUGUUUCGUUCAGUUAGUCCGCUCAGCCUUGCAGGGCCCGUACACUAGAAGACAUGGAUGCAUUGUGUGAGAGCGGACUAACUUUUCUAUUUUGUUAAUUUUUGGGGGAUUUGUUUCAUUUCACUUCCUUAUUUAGAUCAGCUUCAGAUAAUAAUCAGCCUUGACCUAAUUACUGUGAAACCCGAUGUAAAGUGUGAUGGUAUGUAGGCUAUUGGAGAUGCAGUGACAUUUUAGAGUGCAGUGAUUUGUUAUUCACCUUUGAUUUCAUCAGGCUCUUAUGUGAUCGGCCUCAAGGGGAAAAGAUUGGACUCUGUUCGGACAAGGGGAUUGUGAUCUUAUAAUACUUGUAUCGUGAAGAAUAAAUAUUAAU